rnacentral:rRNA from 1 species
CUACGGGAUGCUGCAGUGGGGAAUUUUGGACAAUGGGCGAAAGCCUGAUCCAGCAACGCCGCGUGAGUGAAGAAGGCCUUAGGGUUGUAAAGCUCUUUUAUUAGGGAAGAUAAUGACGGUACCUAAAGAAUAAGCCCCGGCUAACUCUGUGCCAGCAGCCGCGGUAAUACAGGGGGGGCGAGCGUUGUUCGGAAUUACUGGGCGUAAAGCGCACGUAGGCGGUUUUUUAAGUCAGAUGUGAAAUCCCGGAGCUUAACUCCGGAACUGCAUUUGAAACUGGAAAACUUGAGAUUGGUAGAGGAUAGUGGAAUUCCGAGUGUAGAGGUGAAAUUCGUAGAUAUUCGGAGGAACACCAGUGGCGAAGGCGGCUAUCUGGGCCAAUACUGACGCUAAGGUGCGAAAGCGUGGGGAGCAAACAGGAUUAGAUACCCUUGUAGUC